rnacentral:rRNA from 1 species
AGCGAACGCUGGCGGCAGGCCUAACACAUGCAAGUCGAACGGACCUUUCGGGGUUAGUGGCGGACGGGUGAGUAACACGUGGGAACGUGCCUUUAGGUUCGGAAUAGCUCCUGGAAACGGGUGGUAAUGCCGAAUGUGCGCUUCGGGGGAAAGAUUUAUCGCCUUUAGAGGGGCCCGCGUCUGAUUAGCUAGUUGGUUGAGGUAACGGCUCACCAAGGCGACGAUCAGUAGCUGGUCUGAGAGGAUGGCCAGCCACAUUGGGACUGAGACACGGCCCAAACUCCUACGGGAGGCAGCAGUGGGGAAUCUUGCGCAAUGGGCGAAAGCCUGACGCAGCCAUGCCGCGUGAAUGAUGAAGGUCUUAGGAUUGUAAAGUUCUUUCACCGGGGACGAUAAUGACGGUACCCGGAGAAGAAGCCCCGGCUAACUUCGUG